CCAAUUCACUUCUCAAACCUCUAUCACCUACAAGACCGUGACCACCAUCCUUCCAUCAAUCUACGAAGUUCUUAGGCGCUGAGUCAAGGACGCUUCACCACCAUAGCAGAGGCGAGUUCAUCACCUUGUUGCCAAGCCGCUGAGGAAAGCUUCAAAGUGACGCAAGAAGGUGGACUUAUUUGUCGAAGUUCAAAAGCAAUAUAGGAUACCACUUGAAGAAUAUAAAGCAAAGGUUCAGAGGCUCGUGAAAGGACGUGAAGAGAUCAUAGCUGGAGCAAUUGAACACGCAAUGCUUUCGAAAAUUUCUCAAGAAAGGAGCUAGGAUGACCAAUAGUGCAAUAUUGUUGUUGGAAUUGCAGGCUAUUGGGGAGUCAUUUGACCAAAAAGUGAUGAGGCCAAGUCCUGCAAUCCGGGCCUCGGUGGAGGCACUGGAGAAGCUUGUGUUAGAUGAUGCACAUCGUGGUUCACCCUUUUUUUUCUUUUUUGCUUCGAGGCAUACAUUCUUUGAUUAAUCUAGCUUGAUUGGAAUGCGUUUU